rnacentral:rRNA from 1 species
GCCCUGGUGGGGAGCUUCCCGGAAACGAAAGUCUUCCGGUUCCCGGGGAAGUAUGGUUGCAAAGCUGAAACUUAAAGGAAUUGACGGAAGGGCACCACCAGGAGUGGAGCCUGCGGCUUAAUUUGACUCAACACGGGGAAACUCACCCGGCCCGGACACCGUGAGGAUUGACAGAUUGAAAGCUCUUUCUUGAUUCGGUGGUUGGUGGUGCAUGGCCGUUCUUAGUUCGUGGAGCGAUUUGUCUGGUUUAUUCCGAUAACGAGCGAGACUCUAGCUUACUAAAUAGUCUGGUCUUUAUUACUGAGGCCUGACUUCUUAGAGGGAUUUUCGGUGUUCAGCCGCACGAGAUUGAGCAAUAACAGGUCUGUGAUGCCCUUAGAUGUCCGGGGCUGCACGCGCGCUACACUGGCGAAAUCAGCGUGCUUUUCCUAUCUCGAAAGAGAUUGGUAAACCGAUGAAAAUUUGCCGUGAUUGGGAUCGGAAAUUGCAAUUAUUUUCCGUGAACGAGGAAUUCCAAGUAAGUGCGAGUCAUCAACUCGCGUUG